GACGAACGCUGGCGGCGUGCCUAAUACAUGCAAGUAGAACGCUGAAGAAAGGAGCUUGCUUCUUUUGGAUGAGUUGCGAACGGGUGAGUAACGCGUAGGUAACCUGCCUUGUAGCGGGGGAUAACUAUUGGAAACGAUAGCUAAUACCGCAUAACAGCUUUUGACACAUGUUAGAAGCUUGAAAGAUGCAAUUGCAUCACUACGAGAUGGACCUGCGUUGUAUUAGCUAGUAGGUAGGGUAACGGCCUACCUAGGCGACGAUACAUAGCCGACCUGAGAGGGUGAUCGGCCACACUGGGACUGAGACACGGCCCAGACUCCUACGGGAGGCAGCAGUAGGGAAUCUUCGGCAAUGGGGGCAACCCUGACCGAGCAACGCCGCGUGAGUGAAGAAGGUUUUCGGAUCGUAAAGCUCUGUUGUAAGAGAAGAACGUGUGUGAGAGUGGAAAGUUCANACAGUGACGGUAACUUACCAGAAAGGGACGGCUAACUACGU
rnacentral:rRNA from 1 species